rnacentral:rRNA from 1 species
UACGUAGGGGGCAAGCGUUGUCCGGAUUUAUUGGGCGUAAAGAGCGUGUAGGCAGCCGUACAGGUCAGCUGUGAAAACUCGAGGCUCAACCUCGAGACGUCGGUUGAAACCGUACGGCUAGAGUCCGGAAGAGGAGAGUGGAAUUCCCGGUGUAGCGGUGAAAUGCGUAGAUAUCUGGAGGAAUACCGGUGGCGAAGGCGGCAUCCUGGACCGAGAUUGACGCUGAGGAGCGAAAGCUAGGGGAGCAAACGGG